rnacentral:lncRNA from 1 species
GCCCAUCUUAACUAUAUGUGAUAAAAUUAAAACAAAGCUAAUUUUUAGAAAGAGAAUCUAUAGCAAGUCUAGUCAUCAGUCAGUGGCUGACAGCAUUGAGUUCACUGCAGCAAACACACCAAGGCCCGUACUUUUGUAAGCUGCUCUUAGCCUGUAAUUGAGUAUGGGGUAGGUGACAUGGAUGAGGAGCCACUGGGGCUGUCCCUGCCCAGUGGAGGAUUUCUCUCCACAACAGAUGUCCUUGAUCUUGCCACCAGCUUGGUGAAGACUCCUGAGCCGCCCCUGCAGCCUACAGAUGUCUCUGCCUGAUUCUUCUUCUUACCACUUUUCUUCUGCCAGAUGUAAAUGGCCUGGGAAGUCACAAAAGACAGUGACUAAAACGUGAACAGCUGGUUGUCACCAAGUUGCCCAUGUGCAGACAAGCAGAAGGGAAACCCCAGGAAUUAAAGUGUUCCAAACCUGUAAUGAAGCUGCGAAGAGAAAAUGCCAUGAUGUGAAAAAUAAAUAGGCAAAAACCCCAUCUAUCCCAUAGUCUCCCCUGAGAGCCUAGGAGUGCCAGCUGCCUUUGCAGUCAAGAGCAGAUUCCAGCCCACAAGCCUUCUCGUGUGGACACCAAGCCUGGCUGAGCUGAAUCUCCACAUAAGGCUGCCGCUCUCUGUCGACAACACCAUAAUGAGACAGCCGCUUCUCCCUGUUGCUACCCGAGGCUGGGUGCCGCCAUCUGAGGAGCAUACUGCAGGGCUCACCACCUCUCCAGAGACAACUCCGCCUGUGUGCUCAGUGUUUGAGAGGAAGUACAAGACACCAGAGGGUGCUUGUUCAGGUAUACAUUUCAGGUGAAAUUUUUGAGUCCCAGGUGAGGCUAUAGCCUUGAACAUGGGAUUCUUCUGGGAGUAAUUUAUCAUUUAAUGCACAGAGACUGGAAAUGAAAGUGCCCUGCACUUACAUAUUGUAAAGGCCAAACACAUUCUCUUUUUAGUCUUAAAAUUUU